GACCAACGCUGGCGGCGUGCUUAACACCUUCCAGUCGAACCAAGCGCGUUGGAAGCUUGCUUCUAUCAACCUUAGUUGCCCACGGGUGUGUAACGCGUAAUCCACCUGCCCCUCACAGGGGGACAAAAGUUGGAAACGACCGCCAAUACCCCAUUCGAUCUAACCUCGGCAUCUAGGAGGGAUGAAAGGCGGCCCCUAUUUAUAAGCCAUCACUGAAGGGGGGGAUUGCGUCUGAUUAGCUAGUUGGAGGGGUAACGGCCCACCAAGGCGAUGAUCAGUAGCCGGUCUGAGAGGAUGAACGGCCACAGUGGGACUGAGACACGGCCCAGACUCCUACGGGAGGCAGCAGUGGGGAAUCUUCCGCAAUGGACGAAAGUCUGACGGAGCAACGCCGCGUGAGUGAUGACGGCCUUCGGGUUGUAAAGCUCUGUUAAUCGGGACGAAAGGCCUUCUUGCGAAUAGUUAGAAGGAUUGACGGUACCGGAAUAGAAAGCCACGGCUAACUACGUG
rnacentral:rRNA from 1 species